GACGAACGCUGGCGGCGUGCCUAAUACAUGCAAGUAGAACGCUGAAGGAGGAGCUUGCUUCUCUGGAUGAGUUGCGAACGGGUGAGUAACGCGUAGGUAACCUGCCUGGUAGCGGGGGAUAACUAUUGGAAACGAUAGCUAAUACCGCAUAAGAGUAGAUGUUGCAUGACAUUUGCUUAAAAGUUGCAAUUGCAUCACUACCAGAUGGACCUGCGUGGUAUUAGCUAGUUGGUGGGGUAACGGCUUACAAGGAGGCGAAACCUAGCAGAACGGGGUGGGGGCUCAGCCAGACUGGGAGGGAGACACGCCACAGACUCAUAGGGGAGGGAGCAGUAGGGAAUCUUCGGCAAGCGACGGAAGUCUGACCGAGAAACGCCGCGUGAGUGAAGAAGGAUUUCGGAUCGUAAAGCUCUGUUGUAAGAGAAGAAAGAGUGUGAGAGUGGAAAGUUCACACUGUGACGGUAUCUUACCAGAAAGGGACGGCUAACUACGUG
rnacentral:rRNA from 1 species